GACGAACGCUGGCGGCGUGCUUAACACAUGCAAGUCGAACGGAAAGGCCCCUUUGGGGGUACUCGAGUGGCGAACGGGUGAGUAACACGUGAGUAACCUGCCCUUGACUUCGGGAUAACUUCAGGAAACUGGGGCUAAUACCGGAUAGGAAUCCUUGCUGCAUGGUGGGGGUUGGAAAGCUUCGGCGGUUUUGGAUGGACUCGCGGCUUAUCAGCUUGUUGGUGGGGUAGCGGCUUACCAAGGCUUUGACGGGUAGCCGGCCUGAGAGGGCGACCGGCCACAUUGGGCCUGAGAUACGGCCCAGACUCCUACGGGAGGCAGCAGUGGGGAAUAUUGCACAAUGGGCGGAAGCCUGAUGCAGCAACGCCGCGUGCGGGAUGACGGCCUUCGGGUUGUAAACCGCUUUCAGCAGGGGCGAAGCUUGUGGUGACGGUACCUGCAGAAGAAGCACCGGCUAACUACGUG
rnacentral:rRNA from 1 species